UUGAUUACGUCCCUGCCCUUUGUACACACCGCCCGUCGCUGCCCGGGACUGAGCCAUUUCGAGAAACUUGGGGACUGCUGAUCCGGUGGCCUCGGCCUCCGCUUCGGUGGAAACCAAUUUAAUCGCAGUGGCUUGAACCGGGCAAAAGUCGUAACAAGGUAGCUGUAGGUGAACCUGCUGCUGGUUCAUUACACGUACCGUGAUGGU
rnacentral:rRNA from 1 species